UCUUGGGCAAUGGGCUAAAGCCUGACCCAGCGACGCCGCGUGGAGGAAGAAGUCCUUCGGGGCGUAAACUCCUGGACUGGGGGACGAGGAAGGACGGUACCCCAGUAGAAAGGGACGGCUAACUACGUGCCAGCAGCCGCGGUAAAACGUAGGUCCCGAGCGUUGUUCGGAUUCACUGGGUGUAAAGGGCGCGUAGGUGGUUGUCUGUGUCUCAUGUGAAAACUCAGGGCUCAACUCUGAGAUUGCGUGGGAAACUAGGCAGCUAGAGGACGGUAGAGGGGAGUGGAAUUCCCGGUGUAGCGGUAAAAUGCGUAGAUAUCGGGAGGAACACCGGUGGCGAAGGCGGCUCUCUGGGCCGAUCCUGACGCUGAGGCGCGAAAGCUAGGGGAGCGAACCGG
rnacentral:rRNA from 1 species